rnacentral:rRNA from 1 species
GGAAAUAGCCCAGCACUGAAUCCCGCGGUUGUCACGGCCGCGGGAGAUGUGGUGUUCGGGAGGUUCCGCUUUCUCGUCGUCGCAUCUCCUGUCCAAGUUCGUCUUGAACGGGGCCGUUUUCCCGUAGAGGGUGCCAGGCCCGUAGAGACGGAGGGCGGCGGCGAGAGGGACUCUCCUCAGAGUCGGGUUGCUUGAGAGUGCAGCCCUAAGUGGGUGGUAAACUCCAUCUAAGGCUAAAUAUUACCGCGAGACCGAUAGCGAACAAGUACCG